GGAGCGGGGGGGAGCCCAAGUCCAUGGCCACCAUUGUGUUUUCCUCAGAACCCAAGCCUGUGAGGUUAGGAAGACAGGCUCAGCCCAGGCUGGGUGCGAGCUGUCUACCCCCGUAACACUGAGAGUGGCGGCAUGGAGCCUUCUUCCUCAUCCUCGGCAGCUGCUCUCACCCUGGGAGGCGACUCACCCCAUGAAAACAGGGGCUCCAUCCAUAACCCCCAGCACCAGUAAGACCCAGGGAUGUCAAGGCUGCCCACUGACAGCAGGGACUAGGAGCAGCUUCCACGCACCGGCACACAGACUGGUUGGGCAACACAGUGUAAGCAGAGACUCCCGUCCUAGGAGAUCUGACAACAAAUCUCUCUGGGCAGAACGUGUGCGGGGGAGCAUGUCAGUCUUGGGGGCAGGUAGGUGGCAGUCAGCAGGGGAAUCCAGUAAGAGAAGGCCAGGGUCAGAGGCCAGAGAAGCAACACAGAGGUGAGAAGCCAAGGACAGGAAGGAGGCUCCUCCAGAGGAGGCUCCCAGGACUUGGGAAUCUGCACCAGACAAGACAGCUGGGGCUGCCGAGACAACUCAGGGCUCGGAAGUAGUCUCCUUAUCACAAGCUGAGGCCUAAGUGGGGGAAGGUGAGAACGGGGAGCCUCCACCAGCAGGGAUCUGAAUACGGACAGGAAAAGUGGGAAUCACAGAACUUUGUGGGAAGUUUCCGGGACGUCCGGCCGGCCAGGAAGCUUCCCUGAAUGAGCUGUGUAUGAGAAGACGGAGUGCAAGCAUUCAGGCUCCUGGAGCCCCGACACCUGGAGCUAGAAACUGCGCCGGGACCCUGUUCCUUUCCCUAUCCUGGAAGACUGCCCUCCGUGUCGGAGAUCCUGGAAGACACCUGAUCCCAACUACGAGGAUCCCACAACAUCAUCCUGGUAUCCAAAUGUCCCCGCCCCAGCCCCUCCGGCGCCGUCCCGCAAUCCUACGGAACUCCCCACACGACCGCCGGCACCUCAUUCCAGGCACAACCUGCUUCUCCCCAACACCAAACCGAUCGCCCCUAGCUGGUCCCUGACAGCUGGGUGGGGCCAGAAUCUGACCGUUGUCCCGCCCCCAACCUGGCACCCGCCCCCUACGGCUCACUUAGGUGGGAGAUGCUUCUAAGAACAACUGUGCAGGGCAGGGCGGGUGCCAGGACCUAGCCUUAAUCUUGGGCAUCCUUCCUCAAGGCAAGACUUCCAGGAUCUUCUGAAUCACUCAUUAACAGCCCUCCUGCUCACCAGGUGUUAACUGGAAGACUGAUCAGGGCCUCCCCUCCUACGGACAAGGCUAGGGCAGUACCAGACUGAAUCCUGGCACCCCAAUGGCUUGGCCGGAUCCAUCAGCACAUAACUAGGGGCUGGCACAUUGGUCUUCUCGUAGAAACAAGUUGACCAAAGCUGAACCUGACUGCUGAGCACAUGCUACCAUCCCUGGGUGGCCUGACCCAGGUACCAAGUAAGGAGUGUGAGCCUGACAUUCAGGCCUCUACCCGAGUGACAGAAAAAGAAGGCAGCGGGGCUGGAACUUACAAACUACCUCCUGUGCCUCCCAGUCAACCUCAGAGCCAGCUCCACUUCUCAGCCACCCCUGAGAAACCACAAACCUAGCCAGGUGUGUGAGCUGAAUGCCUGGGGACAGCCUUCAGCAGAGGCAAGAAGCCUGAGGUCACAUCCCUACAGUCUCUUUCGAAACUGUGACCUCCACCAACCACUAUGCCCUUUCUGUGCCUUAGUCUCCUUAUCCAAGGAGGAGAGGGGCUUUGAUAGUGCCACCCUCCACUUUGCAGACCCUCAGGUCUCCUUCGCCAGUAAGGGGGCUUACAGAUGAGUCUAGUGGAGGUCAGAGUACAGAUCUAGGUAGGACCCUGGCAGCUGCAGGUAGGAGAAACAGAAGGAAACUCAGUCCCAAGCAGCCCCUGGACAGUUCCCCCUGUUCAGGGACCUCCUGCAUUCCCCAGAGCCCACCUAUUCCUCACUGCCCAGUUCUCUGCUUCGAGAUUCAGUAACGGCUCCCACAAAGUCAGCCUUUGCAAGGCUGGGGCCUUCACCUUUCUGCCCCCUCAGUGGUGCCCAUUCCCAGGCUCCUUCACCAAAAUAUUACUUCUGGAUUUCCCAAGCCAUCCUCCCCUGGAGAGACCACCGAACAUGGUUCAGAAGUCUCACUCUGUUGCUUUGUGGCUGUGUGGCAAAGCAGAGGACCCACAGUCUCUUUCUCCGUAAAACCAGAACACAACAAUCCUUAGCUGCACUGAAUUGUUUUGAGGCAUAAAUAGGAUGAAACUUUAGUAUACACAAGCACUCAAGUUACGGGAGGGGUUAUAAAUGCUGCCGGACAAAGUAGGCACCAACGAAAAUCUAGAAAGUGGACUCUAGAUCGGCAGUUGUCUGAGCGAAUUGCAACUAACCUUGCACUAGCCACAUUUCAAGUGCUCAACAGCCAUAGGUGGCCAGUGGUGGCCUAUAGAACACGUAUCUUAGAGAACCUUUCCAUCUCAGAAAGUUCUAUCGGAAAGCACUGCUCUAGAUAGAAGACGUUUUUAAGACCAAGAAUGGUAGAGCCUGACUUGUCUAGGGUUUCAAAUCCCAGCUCUGCCACUUCUGUGUGUCCCUGGGCAAAUUAAUGAAUUUCGUUGUGCCUCAGUUUCCUUAUCUGUAAAAUGGGGAUUAUAAUAACACCAGCCUUAUAUCGUUGUUGUCAGGAUAUAAAUAAGUUUGUGUUUGUAAAGUGCUUAGAACCUAUCUGGUUCCUAGUAAGAGCUGAAUAAGCAUGCAUUAAAGUCACUGUCAGGCAGGGCAGGGACUAACUGGAUCCAGAAGCAGCCCUGGCCCAGCCCCUGAGUAAAAGAGAAAUAACCCCUACGUGGCAGGGCAGUUGUGAGGACAGUUGUCAACAUACUUUGAAAAGUGACUUGAAACCCUCCCAGGAAAGCAGAGUGGCUGACCCCCUCCUACCCCCCAUCUCUCUGGGCCCCUGAGGAGGGUCAGGGCCCCAACCCCCUCUGCACCCUCUCCCCUUACCAUCUCCGUAGGCUGGCCCAGGGUCCUCAGCCCAGGUGGGUGGAAAGGGCACUGCAAGAGGUAAACGGGGCCGGCGGGAGGUCAGGAAGCCGCUAGGCGACCCCCCAGGCUCGCAGCCCAGGGGGCUGGGGGGCCGCUCAGCAGCCGAGGUGGCCAGCAGCUCUUGCAGGAUGUUGAUGGGUGACACGGUGAGCUCCCAGUUAGUGAUGCCAAAGUCACGCAGGUGGGCCCGGGCAUGGCUGGAGAGGCCGGCCCGGGUGUCGAAGCCAGCCCCACAGAAGUCACAGCGCAUCAGGCUGAAGGUGCCUGGGUCGAAGUUAGCCACUGUGGAGGGAGAGAGGACAUGGGCUGCCUGGAGGGGUGACUCUCUGGCCCCAGCCAUCCCCGUUCCCAGGGGUUCUCACCCUCCACCCCCCACCCUCCACAGAUCACACAGCCAGUGCCAUCCCUGACCCAGGACACCUCCCUUUCCCAUUCACAUUCCUGCCUGUGUGAGCUCACACAUCCUCCCGCAACUCCUGCUCCAAGAAGCCUUAUGUGCCUGGCCUUCCAGAUUUCCCCCUACUUAGCUCUCGCAUCAGGGGCUCCACCCUCAGAAACUUCUCUAGUUGUGGAUUUGCAAUCUUUUGGGUGAACGUUCGAUUAAGAGCCUUCUCGUGUCUACAGUACAUGCCUAUUUUUGCUCACUGUCACUCCAGUGCUGUCAGUUAAAUCUUUGUUGAAUGAAGAAAUGGCCAAAUGGAUGGGAUCCCCUCCCCUGGGAGUCUGCUUGCCCCCCCCCCCCGCCCACAACAGCCCCAGGCAGAGUCAGGGACCUCCUCUCAGCUUCCCCAGCCCCUGGCUUUCCCCAUCACAGCCCUGGUCACUCACCACCAUACCUGCCUGGUUUUGUGGCUGCCUGCCCCCUGACCCUGACCCCCAGUGUACGCGUACACAUGCACGCAUGCGCACACACGCUCUCAAACACCACACCAGCACCUCCCCCAAGUGGGAUCCACGUUCGCCAGCGUCAGAAGCACCCAGGGCAAUCCUGUUGGAGACAGAUCUCCAGAAUCAGAACCCUGGUCCUGGGAAUCUGCAUAGCUCACAGGCUGCCCUGGGGUUUCUGAGGCCGGCCAGGUCCCACACUCCUAUUACUGGGCCGGGAACUCCAAGAGAGCAGGGACUGCUAUUUCCUUCCCUGCUGUGCCCCCAAAUGCCCGGAACAGAGGGGACCUCUCUCAAUAAAUAUUCGCUGAGUGAAGACAUUAGUGAAAUUCCCUGCCUGGGGCUGCCUCCUCUGCCCAUACUCCUUCCUCCAGCUGCUGGAAGGGCCAGGGCAUCGGGGCGUCCCCACACCUCCACCGAUGCAGUGGCCUUUGCCGUGGCUCCCGGUCUUCCAGAAGGGGAGGCCCUGACUUCCCCCUGCUUGGCGCUAUGGGAGGACUUAGAGUGAGGGUUGCUCGGUUCAGAGCUCAGCUGCCCAGCUGCACGUCUCGCGGGCCUCGGAGGGAGGUGGGUGCUAGAGCGAAGCCGCCCUACCUUUUUUCUUCUUCUUCUGGAAGGAGAACCUGCGCUCAAUGGCCUUCACCUCCUCGGCAGAGAUGAAAUGCCGCACAUUGUAGCUGACGCCCACACGGUUCAGGUGGCCCCGGACGUGGUUGGCCAAGCCGAUACCGUUGUGGAAGCGAUCCGGGCAGUAGGGGCACUUCCGCUCCUCGUGCUUCAGUGCCACCGCCGGGUCCCCAUCCAAGAGUGCGUCCAGCCCCAGCGGGCUGCCCAGUGGCGCGUCCAGGAGCAAGAAGUCCAGGGGGUGAGUGGCCCCCAGCCCCAGCUCCUCGGGCUGCAGCCGUGGGGGCACCCGGGUUGCUGCAGCCAUGACCUGUGGCCCCAGCUUUGCCACCAGCACAACGGGCACCAUCCCUCGGAGCUGCUGCCGCUGUGCCCGAGAGGCCUCAGCUGCCCUCAGAGCUUUUCGGAAAGUCCGCUUCAGGUCCAGGGCCAGUUGUGGGAUGAGGCCAGGGGAAGCUAGGGGUGGAAAGACCCCAUUUUCAGGGGAAAAGUCCAUUUCCGAGGCCAGCAGUAUGUCUUCCUCCUCCUCUUCGCUCCAAGGGUGUCUCCGGUCCCCCAGCUGGCCUGGGAGCCCCUGCGGGUGGACCACGCUCUUGUUUCUACCGGGAUGUAAGGAGUAGGGGGCAGAUGCGAGAGGUGAGGGGAAGGCUGGCCUUCCCAGGGGCCUCUGAUCUGAGCCGCGCAGAAGUGGCUUUGACAGUGGGAAAUCCCUCAUGCCUAGCUGCUGGCAGCCUGGGCCAAAGGCCAGGCUGGGGUCAUAUCCAGCAGGGUUCUCCUGCCACGUGGGGGCCAAGAGCGGCUCAGCUUUGCCAAAGUAGUCCUCCGCAGCAUCAGGGAAGCGGGCAUAUGCCUCCUGGCUGGUGCCCGGCUGGCUGGCAGGGUCCUCCUCAAAAGCCUCGGCAUCCUCCUCCCAGUGGGGGUGGGCAUGCGCAAGCCUCAUGUGCUCCCUGAGCAGGCUCUCGCUGGGCGCGGGGAAGCCACAGAAAACGCAGCCACUGAGCCCCGAGGAGCCUCGGUAGGGUCGAUAGGCGAGGGCGGUGGCAUCAGGGCCCGGGCUGCCGGCCCCGCUGCCGCCCCCAAAGGGCUCCCUGGCGGGCUGGCCCGGGAGCUCACGCACGUGCAGCUUGGCAUGCUGCACAAAGGCCUUGGAGGAAUUGGUGCCAAAGAUGCACUUGGGGCACUGCAGCCGUGCCUCCCGGCCCUCAUCGCCCGGGACCUGCUUCAGUUUCUGGAUCUCUUCAAUGAUCUUCUCCCGGGAGGCCUGGUGCAGCUGGCGGUGCUGCUCCAGGGCGCUGGGGUCCGCAAAGGCCCAGCCACACUCUCCACAGGCCAGCGGGGCCAAGUCGGCGGGGGGCUCCUGGCCCGGGGCUCGGCGGUGCUGGCUCAUGUGCUCCAGAAGGUGCUCCUUCUGCUUAAAGUAGAUGCUGCACUCGAUGCACGGGAACACGGCCGGCUCCUCGUCCUCGUCCUCAUCUGGGCUGGCCACCCCCUUGGCCACCUCCUCCAGCAGCUCGCACAGCUCCCUUCUAGGAAGGGUGGAGUCAGGAAUGGUGGAAGGAUCCUGCUCAGCCUCUAGCCCCAAGGACCCUGGCCUUCUUUGGGGGAAGGGGGAAGGCGAAGCAACCUCACCGGGCCUCAGUUUUCCAAUCCUACAAAUGGGGACGAGUCCCAAAAACCAGGAGCCUCUGUGUCCUUAUGCAGCACCUAAAGAGCUUUCUCAUAUCCAUAAUCAAAGGAAAGUUUACAUGAGGUAUGUGCUCAUUUAAAUAAUCACAGCUGUGGGGCGCCUGGGUGGCUUGGUUGGUUAAGCACCCGACUUUGGCUCAGGUCAUGAUCUUGCAGUUGGUGGGUUCGAGCCCCGUGUCAGACUCUGUGCUGACAGCUCAGAGCCUGGAG